CCUACGGGCGGCAGCAGUGGGGAAUAUUGGACAAUGGGGGCAACCCUGAUCCAGCCAUGCCGCGUGUGUGAAGAAGGCCCUCGGGUUGUAAAGCACUUUCAGUGAGGAAGAACGCCUGGUGGUUAAUACCCAUCAGGAAAGACAUCACUCACAGAAGAAGCACCGGCUAACUCCGUGCCAGCAGCCGCGGUAAUACGGAGGGUGCGGGCGUUAAUCGGAAUUACUGGGCGUAAAGCGCGCGUAGGUGGCUUGAUAAGCCGGUUGUGAAAGCCCCGGGCUCAACCUGGGAACGGCAUCCGGAACUGUCAAGCUAGAGUGCAGGAGAGGAAGGUAGAAUUCCCGGUGUAGCGGUGAAAUGCGUAGAGAUCGGGAGGAAUACCAGUGGCGAAGGCGGCCUUCUGGACUGACACUGACACUGAGGUGCGAAAGCGUGGGUAGCAAACAGGAUUAGAUACCCUAGUAGUC
rnacentral:rRNA from 1 species